UACGAAGGGGGCUAGCGUUGCUCGGAAUCACUGGGCGUAAAGCGCACGUAGGCGGACUCUUAAGUCAGGGGUGAAAUCCUGGAGCUCAACUCCAGAACUGCCUUUGAUACUGGGAGUCUUGAGUUCGGGAGAGGUGAGUGGAACUGCGAGUGUAGAGGUGAAAUUCGUAGAUAUUCGCAAGAACACCAGUGGCGAAGGCGGCUCACUGGCCCGAUACUGACGCUGAGGUGCGAAAGCGUGGGGAGCGAACAGG
rnacentral:rRNA from 1 species